AUAUGCAUCUGCUGGGUGCCUCGUGGGGAGCUAUCACACAUCUGUUGCUGCAUCUCGCUUAUAAGAAGGAAAGAUUGGAUAAGGAUUCUUGAGGGAGCGACCCAGCGCGCGGCCAAGUCAGUCUGUACAAUCCGGUCACAACUCGUCUAACGCCAGAAAAUAAUUCCCACAUAAUCAAGAGGAUUACUCAUAUCUAUCCGUACAUGACGGCUGCUUACGCUCUAUUGAAGAAACGGAUCGGCAACGAAGCUUAUUGGCGGAAAAUAUCUCAAGGGACCAAUCGACUUGCGCGUAUGUAAGUAUGUUCUUCUGUUUGAUCACACGUCGCGCACUAAAUUUACUCAACUGCUUUGCUUAAGUGAAAUAUUGAUAAAUUUCAAGUUAUAAUUUCAUAUUUAUUAAUAAUUAUGAUUGAACGAUCGCAUGAAUGUGUCACAAUAAAUCAUUGACAAAAC